rnacentral:tRNA from 1 species
GUCUCGAUGGUGUAGUUGGUUAUCACGUUCGCCUAACACGCGAAAGGUCCUCGGUUCGAACCCGGGUUGAGACA